GAUGAACGCUAGCUACAGGCUUAACACAUGCAAGUCGAGGGACCGGCGCACGGGUGAGUAACACGUAUCCAACCUGCCCUUUACUCGGGGAUAGCCUUUCGAAAGAAAGAUUAAUACCCGAUAUAAAGGAUGGGUAUGCGUUCCAUUAGGUUGUUGGUGAGGUAACGGCCCACCCAGCCUUCGAUGGAUAGGGGUUCUGAGAGGAAGGUCCACCACAAUGGAACUGAGCAACGUGCCAAAAUCCUACGGGGGGCAGCAGUGGGGAAUAUAGGAGAAUGGGCGGUAACCUGAACCAGCCAAGUAGCGUGAAGAAUGAAGGCAUAUGGGUGGUAAACUUCUUUAAUAGAAGAAUAUGUAUUAGAAGAAUAAGGAUCGGCUAACUCCGUGCCAGCAGCCGCGGUAAUUC
rnacentral:rRNA from 1 species